UACGCAACAUCCGUCACAUUUACUUUCGUUUUGAAUUCACUUGUUCAGGUGCGGCUCCGGUCCGUUUGUUGGGUCUGAGAUUGUUGUUUAAAUUUUCUUCUUUAACUCUUCGGAUCGUUUGAACAAAAUGAUCCAUCAGAGACUCAGACCAGAACCAGAACCAGAACCCAGCUGUGUGUCCUUUAAGAGCGACUGGUCAAAGGAUGACUUCAUUAACUUUAAAUCUCCUGGAUCUCCACCUUCAUGGAGAGUGGACCAGCAGAGCUCAGAGGUUCCCAGUGGUCCGUCUGCCCAGCAGCAUCAAACACAGCUGGACUCCAUAUUUAUGGUCUGUACAUGAAC